GUUAAAGCUGUAGACAAAUAGACAUGUGCGAUCUGCCAUUUUGCUGUUGUGAGGCAGAUAAUUCAGAUGGGAUUUUCAGAGCUUGGACUAAAGCACAGGGUGACGGGUUCCACCUCAAAGGAGUCAAAGAUGACCCCAGGUUACGAAGCUGAGUGACGUGAUGGAUGAUAAUGUUGUCAACAAGAUGGAGAAAGUGCAUGGUAAGAUGAACCAUGAACAAAGCAUGAAGAUAUCAAAACCAGAAGGAAGAUGAAGUGGCCAGUUAGUGAGAGCAUAUGGCAAAAGUGAUAGUAACUGUUCUCUGAAGAUCAAC